GGACAUUUACAGAAGACUGUACCCAACAACUGCAGUAUACAGGUUUUCUUCAAGUACACAUGGAACAUUUAUCAAGAGAAGCCAUAUGGUCAGAUGCUGAUGUCAUAACAAGAUUCAGAGGGUGGCACCUCUCACACAUGUGCAUGAACACCCAGCCAUCACGUUCAUGAACUACAAAAGGAUCUGCAGGAAGAUAAGCAUCUAGAAUUCGUGUUUAUAGGAUAUGCAUCUGAGCCUGUGAUGAGACCUCAACUGGGAUUCUUCUUAAAAGGAGUCAAGAAAUGAAACAGGGAAUCUGAGACCUGGCUGGGAGAAGAGGACUUGCCUGAAGUUAUCCCACACAGCAAAUUAGUUGGAAAACCAGGAUAGUUGAUAAAUAUCCUGAAGCCCAGCCAAGUAAUGAAGCCAGAAUUCAGAAAGCUGUUUUGACUAGAUCUGGGAUUUUUACAAUAAAGGAUCUGUAAGGGAUAUUUGUGAAAAAUUUUGACACUUGACGGCUGUCCUGAUUCAUUCAGCUACCUGGGUUAUCUCUGCCUCUCCUUGACUUGUGUUUUGUCUUUUAAGAUGGCAGUCUUGCUCUUUUGCCUGGGCUGGUCUUGAACUCCUGGGCUCAAGCAGUUUUCCUGCUUCAGCCUCCUGAGUAGCUGGGGCUACAGGAGGACAUCACUGUGCCCAGCUCUCUCCGUAUCUUUGACUAGGUUAUUUUACAACCCCAUAAGAUAGAAAUGAAGUUAUAGAAAGCUGAUAGGAAUACAAAUAAUUAUUGUCCAUAGAAAUGCAAAUUGGAUCUAAUGGAAAUCAACUGAUUUAUUUCCGGCAGAUAGUGACCACUUUUGUAUCCUUUUGUAAAUUCAUUUCAGCAUUCCAUAUUUGACUAAAAAUGUGUGACACUCCCAGUUUGUUUUUGAAUUCAUUGUAACAUCUACCAAUUCCCUCAUUAAUUAAUGAGUUAAAUAAAGCCUUUGGCAUGUAUUUAUUUUGUA